CUGUAUGUAUGAAAACAGGGUAAACAGGUAAUGGCAAUAAAAUAAUAUAGAAACAACAAAAAUAAAAUAAAUAUAGCCUUGCAGUAUAAUGAUAUUAUUCAAAACACACUCACAGGCCUGUUUGAACGUCAACAGUAACGUUACCUGAAAACAGCGUGUAGUUCCUUUUUCAGCAAAUUUGCUUCAUUUGUCAUUGUGCAUACAUAU